rnacentral:rRNA from 1 species
AGAGUUUGAUCAUGGCUCAGAGCGAACGCUGGCGGCAGGCUUAACACAUGCAAGUCGAACGGGCAUAGCAAUAUGUCAGUGGCAGACGGGUGAGUAACGCGUGGGAACAUACCUCUUGGUUCGGAACAACACAGGGAAACUUGUGCUAAUACCGGAUAAGCCCUUACGGGGAAAGAUUUAUCGCCGAGAGAUUGGCCCGCGUCUGAUUAGCUAGUUGGUGUGGUAAAGGCGCACCAAGGCGACGAUCAGUAGCUGGUCUGAGAGGAUGAUCAGCCACAUUGGGACUGAGACACGGCCCAAACUCCUACGGGAGGCAGCAGUGGGGAAUAUUGGACAAUGGGCGCAAGCCUGAUCCAGCCAUGCCGCGUGAGUGAUGAAGGCCUUAGGGUUGUAAAGCUCUUUUGUACGGGAAGAUAAUGACGGUACCGUAAGAAUAAGCCCCGGCUAACUUCGUGCCAGCAGCCGCGGUAAUACGAAGGGGGCUAGCGUUGCUCGGAAUCACUGGGCGUAAAGGGUGCGUAGGCGGGUUUUUAAGUCAGAGGUGAAAUCCUGGAGCUCAACUCCAGAACUGCCUUUGAUACUGAAAGUCUUGAGUAUGGGAGAGGUGAGUGGAACUGCGAGUGUAGAGGUGAAAUUCGUAGAUAUUCGCAAGAACACCAGUGGCGAAGGCGGCUCACUGGCCCAUUACUGACGCUGAGGCACGAAAGCGUGGGGAGCAAACAGGAUUAGAUACCCUAGUAGUCC